GGUUUUCAGGGUACAACAGCCCUGCAGGGCGGUUAAGUGUUUUGCCUUGAUUGCAGGUUGGAGGACUAUGCUGAGAAUAGCUUACACCAGCCCUAUAAUGUAGCCCACUGCAAAUAUUGCAGCUCAGAGGUGGGCGCCCUCCUUUCAGGCCAAACCAAGCCCUCGCUGUAUGCGGGGGGUGGGGGUGGACUAUAUAUAUAUAUUUACAGGGCUCCAGAGCUAUAUACAAAUAUGUACUCGGCUCGCCAAGUGUCCAGUAAUUUUUGGCUUGGGAGAAAAAGGCGGAAGGCAAAGUGAGUUUAAGACAGGGCUGAAGUCAGAACAGCUGGAAAACAACUACAUGCUCUAUCUAAUUAGGAUUUACCAAACUGUGUGCAGCCCUUAAAACGAUCAAUUAUUUUCAAUGCUUCUAUUAUUCUUUUAUCUCAGGCUAAUAUAACAACACAAAUUACUUUGCCACGACGGUAUUAUUUAUAUCCCGCCUUUAUUUCCUGGAACUCAAGGCGACACACACUUCCUCCAUUUUAUCUUCACAACCCUGUGAGAUUGGUAACUUCUUUGAAAACAAGGACAUUCAUACAUUGAUCCGAUCAGGAAAAGCAUUCCCUUACUGCGCAUAAGUAAAUCAAAUGUUAGCGAAAAUGCCUGCAGUUUUGAGACUAGCUUAAUGAAUUGAUUGCUUUUAAAUGAGUGUAAGUGCUAAAAGUUGGGGGUUUUUUUGGUAGGCUACUCAGGUCACACUGUGUCAUCUCUUAUACAAACAUAUCCUGCACCCACCUGCUAUCAUCUACACUGGCACUAAAUGGACCCUUGUAUAGGCGUUAAGGUUGCCCAAUUCUGCAAAAAGUUGUGUGUAGGAAGCUGUCAAACCAUUGGUCUAUCUAUUCCAUUCUGUCCUCACUGACUGGCAGCAACUCUCCAGGAUUUCAGAGGGGACAUUCCCAUCCCCAAGUGGAGAUGCUGGAGAUCGAACCUGGAACCUUCUGCAUGCAAAGCAGAUGUUCUGCCACUGAACUAUGGCCCCUACCUGAUAAAUACAGUCUGCAUGGAACUGUAUACAGUGUGCCUGCAACUAAUGUGCAUUUAACUUGCGUGCAUUCAGCUUUAUGUGCUUGGCAAAAAAAUAAAAUAAAUAAAAA